rnacentral:lncRNA from 1 species
GCCGGAGCAUUUUGGACGGUGGCUACCACGGAGUAUUCGGUGAUGAUGCAUAUUUCUGGCGCCACCGUUGCCCCUAGGGUGACUCCAGUUCUUCUUGAAACAGGUCUUCGUCGCCGCUGCCGUUGCCCUUACCAUCCCCUGGAAUCUAUCCCAUCCUUUUCCCCCUGAGGUUGGGACUUCGGAGGUGGAGCGAAAUAAGGCGGGGCGAAAGCCGAUGAGCCCAUCACACGUACUGGACGACGCGGCUGGGAAGGACAGAAAUGGGAAGAGAAGUUUGCAGCUUGAAGCGGCCUCCGGUGCAUCCUUUCCAAACUGUGUUCGCGAGACUUGCAAUGAUGUAUACAUUUUUUUUUUCUGGCCCACCGGGUCUUGUAAUGUACAUCCUGUUAGUUGAAAAAUGAAAAGGAGAUUUUGUUACCUCGUCUGCAUCUUGUAUCGAGUAGUCGUCUGUCGAACUUCUUUAUUCUUCUUUCUUCUCUCUUCCUUCUUUUCUUCUUUUCUUUUUCACGUCAUCCUAAGGUCGUCGAUGAUCUCUUUUAUUCGUGUUGGAUUGUUAUUUGCCGAGCUCCUUUUCGACUUUUACGCCAUUCGAAGAUACCUGGUUGUCAUUUUCCCGUCAAUGGCUGCAGGCUUGCUUGGGGC